GCCUGACUAGCUCAGUUGGUAGAGCGUGUAGCUUUUGAUCUCAGGUUCAUGAGUUUGAGCCACAUGUUGGGCC
rnacentral:tRNA from 1 species